rnacentral:rRNA from 1 species
AUGGACGGGGCUGUCCCCAGCACAGGCUUUCUCACUCACCUCCUAUGCCGCUUGCCUUGCUCGUUUGGUUGCCACCCGUUACUGCCUCCAAGCACCAUCUAUGAAUCUCCGUGGUUAGUUCCUUCGUCGAAUCCUCAAGGGUCACCUUCAGUAAGUGGUAACCGAAGUGCAACAAUGACCGGUGAAGACCCCUGUCCCGUGUACCAUCCUGUUGCUGUCGCUGGACACUGA